rnacentral:hammerhead_ribozyme from 1 species
GCACUGCUGACGAGUCAAAAACGGGACGAAACAGCCGUCCAGUGU